rnacentral:rRNA from 1 species
UAGGGAAUCUUCGGCAAUGGGGGCAACCCUGACCGAGCAACGCCGCGUGAGUGAAGAAGGUUUUCGGAUCGUAAAGCUCUGUUGUAAGUCAAGAACGGGUGUGAGAGUGGAAAGUUCACACUGUGACGGUAGCUUACCAGAAAGGGACGGCUAACUACGUGCCAGCAGCCGCGGUAAUACGUAGGUCCCGAGCGUUGUCCGGAUUUAUUGAGCGUAAAGGCGAGCGCAGGCGGUUUGAUAAGUCUGAAGUU